AUUCCUUUCCGGUAUACACUAGUGGGUAUUCUCCUCCUUACUAUUGUGUGUUGGUCCUUUACUGUGAGAAAAUUAGAGUGUUCAAAGCAGGCGUUUGCUUGAAUAGAUUAGCAUGGAAUAAUAAUUGAAGGCUUUCGUGUUCGAUUUGAUUGGUUUGUUCAUGGAAGCAAGGUUAAAAGGAACAGUUGGGGGUAUUCAUAUUCACUAGUUAGAGGUGAAAUUCUCGGAUUUAUGGAAGAUGAACAAGUGCGAAAGCAUUUACCAAGGAUGUUUUCAUUAAUCAAGAACGAAAGCUAGGGGAUCGAAGAGGAUUAGAUACCCUCGUAGUCUUAGCUAUAAACGAUACCGACUAGGGGUUAGUAGAGGUCAAAGUGUCUUUAUUAGUACCUUAUGAGAAAUCA
rnacentral:rRNA from 1 species